rnacentral:ribozyme from 1 species
ACUAAACAAUCAAACAAACCAAACAAAAAAAAAUCAAAAAUACAAAGAGCAAUACCAAUGAUUCCCCCUGAUAUGAAUUUUUCAUGAUUUUUUUCAAUGUAAACGUGAGCAUUUAUUCCCCUUCUUCAUCACCUCUCUCCAUAAUACGUACGUGGGCUACCUAGCAAACAAACAGCCAUCCAUUCAAAAAGAAGUGUCGUUUCUCUCUUUUUUUUUUUUUUUUUUUUUUUUAUUUAAAAAAAAAAAAAAAAAAAUAUAUAAUCU